GAAGUAAAAGUCGUAACAAGGUUUCCGUAGGUGAACCUGCGGAAGGAUCAUUAACGAAAUCGGACUUCGGUCUGGUGACGUCUCUCUUGCUGUGCGCCUUUUGGCUGCACGCUUGGGAAUCCACACACCUGUGCACACUCGGUUGGCGGGCUUCGGCCCGCCUCUCGCCUACACUUACUUUGUAUGUCUCGAAUGUCUAUUAUCUUAUGAUAAAAAAAUACAACUUUCAGCAACGGAUCUCUUGGCUCUCGCAUCGAUGAAGAACGCAGCGAAAUGCGAUACGUAAUGUGAAUUGCAGAAUUCAGUGAAUCAUCGAAUCUUUGAACGCACCUUGCACCCCGUGGUUCUCCACGGGGUACGCCCGUUCGAGUGUCACGUAAACCAUCGCCUAAGCAAAGCUAGCUUUGCUCUGGCGGAUCUGGACGCCUGCCGUCGUUGGCUCGUCCGAAAUGCAUUAGCGAGGGUGGUCUCUCUAAACCGCUUGGCGUGAUAUUUCCUUCUCGCCUGUUGGUUCGGUCUAGGAGACGGCUCUGCUCCGAAUCCCGUCGCGUCGACGGAACAUUACAAAGUUUGACCUCGAAUCGGGUGGGACUACCCGUUGAACUUAAGCAUAUCAAUAAGCGGAGGA
rnacentral:rRNA from 1 species